rnacentral:rRNA from 1 species
AAACGACUCUCGGCAACGGAUAUCUCGGCUCACGCAUCGAUGAAGAACGUAGCAAAAUGCGAUACUUGGUGUGAAUUGCAGAAUCCCGUGAACCAUCGAGUUUUUGAACGCAAGUUGCGCCCGAAGCCAUNUGGUUGAGGGCACGUCUGCCUGGGCGUCACGUA